GUCCUUUUGAAGACGUCCCAUAAAAUUGGAAUGAUACAAAAAAAAUUAACACAACCCUUGCGCAAAGAUGACCUGCACAAAAUCAAGAAAUGAUUCAAAUUUUU
rnacentral:snRNA from 2 species